rnacentral:tRNA from 1 species
GGUUUGAUGGUGUAGUUGGUUAUCACGUCUGUCUCACACACAGGAGGUCUCCGGUUCGAGCCCGGGUCAAACCA